GAGUUUGAUCAUGGCUCAGGACGAACGCUGGCGGCGUGCCUAAUACAUGCAAGUAGAACGCUGAAGAGAGGAGCUUGCUCUUCUUGGAUGAGUUGCGAACGGGUGAGUAACGCGUAGGUAACCUGCCUUGUAGCGGGGGAUAACUAUUGGAAACGAUAGCUAAUACCGCAUAACAAUAGGUGACACAUGUCAUUUAUUUGAAAGGGGCAAUUGCUCCACUACAAGAUGGACCUGCGUUGUAUUAGCUAGUAGGUGAGGUAACGGCUCACCUAGGCGACGAUACAUAGCCGACCUGAGAGGGUGAUCGGCCACACUGGGACUGAGACACGGCCCAGACUCCUACGGGAGGCAGCAGUAGGGAAUCUUCGGCAAUGGGGGCAACCCUGACCGAGCAACGCCGCGUGAGUGAAGAAGGUUUUCGGAUCGUAAAGCUCUGUUGUAAGUCAAGAACGAGUGUGAGAGUGGAAAGUUCACACUGUGACGGUAGCUUACCAGAAAGGGACGGCUAACUACGUGCCAGCAGCCGCGGUAAUACGUAGGUCCCGAGCGUUGUCCGGAUUUAUUGGGCGUAAAGCGAGCGCAGGCGGUUUGAUAAGUCUGAAGUUAAAGGCUGUGGCUCAACCAUAGUUCGCUUUGGAAACUGUCAAACUUGAGUGCAGAAGGGGAGAGUGGAAUUCCAUGUGUAGCGGUGAAAUGCGUAGAUAUAUGGAGGAACACCGGUGGCGAAAGCGGCUCUCUGGUCUGUAACUGACGCUGAGGCUCGAAAGCGUGGGGAGCGAACAGGAUUAGAUACCCUGGUAGUCCACGCCGUAAACGAUGAGUGCUAGGUGUUGGAUCCUUUCCGGGAUUCAGUGCCGCAGCUAACGCAUUAAGCACUCCGCCUGGGGAGUACGACCGCAAGGUUGAAACUCAAAGGAAUUGACGGGGGCCCGCACAAGCGGUGGAGCAUGUGGUUUAAUUCGAAGCAACGCGAAGAACCUUACCAGGUCUUGACAUCCCGAUGCUAUUUCUAGAGAUAGAAAGUUACUUCGGUACAUCGGUGACAGGUGGUGCAUGGUUGUCGUCAGCUCGUGUCGUGAGAUGUUGGGUUAAGUCCCGCAACGAGCGCAACCCCUAUUGUUAGUUGCCAUCAUUCAGUUGGGCACUCUAGCGAGACUGCCGGUAAUAAACCGGAGGAAGGUGGGGAUGACGUCAAAUCAUCAUGCCCCUUAUGACCUGGGCUACACACGUGCUACAAUGGUUGGUACAACGAGUUGCGAGUCGGUGACGGCAAGCUAAUCUCUUAAAGCCAAUCUCAGUUCGGAUUGUAGGCUGCAACUCGCCUACAUGAAGUCGGAAUCGCUAGUAAUCGCGGAUCAGCACGCCGCGGUGAAUACGUUCCCGGGCCUUGUACACACCGCCCGUC
rnacentral:rRNA from 1 species